rnacentral:rRNA from 1 species
GACAGGUGCUGCAUGGCGUGUCGUCAGCUCGUGUCGUGAGAUGUUGGGUUAAGUCCGUACGAGCGCAACCCUUGUCCUUAGUUACCAGCACGUUAUGGUGGGCACUCUAAGGAGACUGCCGGUGACAAACCGGAGGAAGGUGGGGAUGACGUCAAGUCAUCAUGGCCCUUACGGCCUGGGCUACACACGUGCUACAAUGGUCGGUACAAAGGGUUGCCAAGCCGCGAGGUGGAGCUAAUCCCAUAAAACCGAUCGUAGUCCGGAUCGCAGUCUGCAACUCGACUGCGUGAAGUCGGAAUCGCUAGUAAUCGUGAAUCAGAAUGUCACGGUGAAUACGUUCCCGGGCCUU